CAUGUAGCCGAGGGAGAGCUUGGUAACUUUAGUGAAGUUGUAACAAGGUACUGGUAGGGGAACCUGCUUGUGGAAUAAAAAGAUAACUUGGAACUGUUUGAAGACAAGGCAACAGGGCACUAGACGGAGGGCUAGAUUACAGCAUCGGUUGGGCUGAAGUGGUCCUGGUGAGGCCGCCGAUUAGGUAGCGAAGUGAAGCAUCUCAGUAGCUACGACAAGAAAUUAACAAAGCGGGUUUAGUAGCGGCGAGCGAACUUCCUUGUUCGGACGUUGCGUUGAGGCAAAAUACUUAGACGUAUACCUUAGGAGUUAGAGUCUCGUAGCCUCGGACGCGACAUCUGUAAGUUGGCCAGUCUUGUGAAGAUUGGUUGGAGGGAAUUCUUUCUCUUUAAUUGAAGCUGUAAUCGAUAGCGUAGAGUAGGGCGACCAAAAGUUGAAAAGAACCCUGGAGGGAGUGAAAAGAACCCAAAAUCUAGUGUGUAAGCAGCCGUGCUCGACAGCGCGGCGUACCUUUUGCAUAAUGGACUGAUGAGUUAAAGUGGCUAGCAAGCGCAAGCGUAACUAACCUGUGUAGUUAGCUUCUUUAGACCCGAAGCCGUGUGAACUAACUAUGAGCAGGCCAGCGGGCCGAACCGGUGAAUGUUGCAAUAUUCUCGGAUGACUCGUGGUUAGGGGUGAAAGGUCUAACAAACACGGUGAUAGCUGGUUCUCCACGAAAUCUAUUUUAGUAGAGCGGGGGUUUAGCGGGGGCGGGGGUAGCGUAUCUUAGAUCACUAAAUAGGCUCGCCUAUUUUUAAUAUGUGAGAAAGCGCGAAUACUGCACAGCUGGCCCCUAGUCAGUCAGUGGGCGCAAAAGUUAACUGACGAGAGGGAAACAACCCAGAUUACAGGCUAAGGCUGAUAAUCAGCACUAAGAAGAAAGGCCACUUGGCGGCUAAUGAGGUAGGUAUGGAAGCUAUCAACCUUUGAAGAAAACGUAACAGUACACUGGUCGUGAGCCCUGUGGCCUAAUAAUUUCCAAGUGAGUGCUGAGCCGAAGCCAUAUGAAGGUAGUGGAGUGUGCUGCAUGUCGCUAACUGCCGCCGUGAGGCGUCAGGAUGACACCAGUAGCAAAGAGAUCAGUAUGAGUAGCAAUUUAUUGUUGAACCUUUAGCACCGUAAGCCUUAGAGUUUUUACGUAAAGACAAACUGCGUAAAGUUAGUCGUUCCCUAAGACUAAGUUAAAGAACGAGGGUCGAUGGGUUCUCGAAAGUGACCUGUGCUUGCUGCUCUGCCUUGGUAAUGCUUUUCGUGGCAGUGCACCUGCACGGCAGGAAAAAACUUCGAGCUGGCAAACGUAUUAAAACCGACUCUGGUAGGCGGGUUGAAUAUACUCAGGUGACGAUUCAAGAGCGUUGAAGGAACUCGGCAAAUUAGCUCUGUAACUUCGGGAGAAGGAGUGCCCAAGUGGUCGCAGUAAAUGAGGAGCAGCGACUGUUUUUUAAAAACACAGGACUUUGCAAAGUUGAAAGAUGAGGUAUAAAGUCUGACUUCUGCCCAGUGCUGGUCAAUGAAGCUUGGGGGCCUCGCCCUCAUAUAAGUGCCAGUAAACGGCGGCCGUAUUCCUGACGGUCCUAAGGUAGCGAAAUUCCUUGGCGGGUAAGUUCCGUCCUGCAUGAAUGAAGUAACGACUGCUCUACUGUCUCCAACGCUCGGUCGGCGAAAUUGAAUUUGUUGUGCAGAUGCAAUAAUGUUAUACAGCAAGACGGAGAGACCCUAUGCACCUUUACUACAGCCAUUUAUCGGGCGGUAACUCGGCCUUAUGGAGCUAUGCAGGAGUGUAUCGACCAUGAGAAACUGCUUAAGCUCGGGUGAAGCUUUCAUGGCCUAACAACAAGUGGCCAGAGAUAUGGAUGGCGGGUAGUUUAGCUGGGGCGGCUACCUCCUAAAGAGUAACGGGGGUGAUUAGAUGCUGCUUGUGGCUUAAUGGCUGAGGCAGUAGGAUUUAAUUAACUACCAUUAAUUAAAGGGUACAGAUAUAGUGAUCCGGUGAUUUCUUAAGAUUGAGUCACCGCUAAACGGAUAAAAGGUACGCUAGGGAUAACAGGCUAAUAGUUUUUAAAAGUUCAUAUUUACAAAACUGCUUGGCACCUCGAUGUCGGCUCUUCAUAUCCUGGAGGGGCACAAUCUUCCAAGGGUUUGGCUGUUCGCCAAUUAAAAUGGAACGUGAGCUGGGUUGAGAACGUCGUGAGACAGUUCGGUCCCUAUCUGCUGUAUACCAAAACGAAGGGUGUGAACUCUAGUACGAGAGGACUGAGAACAGGCAGCCUCUGGUGUAGCAGUUGUCGAAGCGCGGCAUGGCUGCACAGCUAAGCUGUGAGAUCUAAGUGCGAUGCACGAAGUUCGCCCUAAGGUUUUGUAGACCACAUGAGAAGAUGACUCAAGCAGCCCUGCACUAAAAGUCUCGAGAGGGGCUGCGGUGUGGGCUGUCAUUUGUGGUUAGGUGUUAGUGCGCAUUCCAGCG
rnacentral:rRNA from 1 species